rnacentral:rRNA from 1 species
GACGAACGCUGGCGGCGUGCUUAACACAUGCAAGUCGAACGGAAAGGCCUCUUUCGGGGGGUACUCGAGUGGCGAACGGGUGAGUAACACGUGAGUAACCUGCCCUUGACUUUGGGAUAACUUCAGGAAACUGGGGCUAAUACCGGAUAGGAGCUCCUGCUGCAUGGUGGGGGUUGGAAAGUUUCGGCGGUUGGGGAUGGACUCGCGGCUUAUCAGCUUGUUGGUGGGGUAGUGGCUUACCAAGGCUUUGACGGGUAGCCGGCCUGAGAGGGUGACCGGCCACAUUGGGACUGAGGUUCGGCCCAGACUCCUACGGGAGGCAGCAGUGGGGAAUAUUCAACAAUGGGUGGAAGCCUGAUGCAGCCACGACGUGUGCGGGAUGACGGCAUUCGGGUUGUAACCCGCUUUCGCUCAUGACGAAGCUUUGUGUGACGGUAGUGGGUAAAGAAGCACCGGCUAACUACGUG